rnacentral:tRNA from 3 species
GCCCACGUGGCGGAAUUGGUAGACGCAAGGGACUUAAAAUCCCUCGCCUGUUUCAGGCGUGCCGGUUCGAUCCCGGCCGUGGGCACCA